rnacentral:rRNA from 1 species
GUCCACGCUGUAAACGAUGAAUACUAGGUGUGGGAGGACUGACCCCUUCCGUGCCGCAGUUAACACAAUAAGUAUUCCACCUGGGGAGUACGACCGCAAGGUUGAAACUCAAAGGAAUUGACGGGGGCCCGCACAAGCAGUGGAUUAUGUGGUUUAAUUCGACGCAACGCGAAGAACCUUACCAGGAUUUGACAUCCAACUAACGAAGCAGAGAUGCAUUAGGUGCCCUUCGGGGAAAGUUGAGACAGGUGGUGCAUGGUUGUCGU